rnacentral:rRNA from 1 species
AGAGUUUGAUCCCGGCUCAGAUUGAACGCUGGCGGCAUGCUUUACACAUGCAAGUCGAACGGCAGCGCGGGGCAACCUGGCGGCGAGUGGCGAACGGGUGAGUAAUAUAUCGGAACGUACCCAAGAGUGGGGGAUAACGUAGCGAAAGUUACGCUAAUACCGCAUACGAUCUAAGGAUGAAAGCAGGGGAUCUUCGGACCUUGUGCUCCUGGAGCGGCCGAUAUCUGAUUAGCUAGUUGGUGAGGUAAAGGCUCACCAAGGCCACGAUCAGUAGCUGGUCUGAGAGGACGACCAGCCACACUGGAACUGAGACACGGUCCAGACUCCUACGGGAGGCAGCAGUGGGGAAUUUUGGACAAUGGGCGAAAGCCUGAUCCAGCAAUGCCGCGUGAGUGAAGAAGGCCUUCGGGUUGUAAAGCUCUUUUGUCAGGGAAGAAACGGUGAGGGCUAAUAUCCUUCGCUAAUGACGGUACCUGAAGAAUAAGCACCGGCUAACUACGUGCCAGCAGCCGCGGUAAUACGUAGGGUGCAAGCGUUAAUCGGAAUUACUGGGCGUAAAGCGUGCGCAGGCGGUUUUGUAAGUCUGACGUGAAAUCCCCGGGCUCAACCUGGGAAUUGCGUUGGAGACUGCAAGGCUAGAAUCUGGCAGAGGGGGGUAGAAUUCCACGUGUAGCAGUGAAAUGCGUAGAGAUGUGGAGGAACACCGAUGGCGAAGGCAGCCCCCUGGGUCAAGAUUGACGCUCAUGCACGAAAGCGUGGGGAGCAAACAGGAUUAGAUACCCUGGUAGUCCACGCCCUAAACGAUGUCUACUAGUUGUCGGGUUUUAAUUAACUUGGUAACGCAGCUAACGCGUGAAGUAGACCGCCUGGGGAG